CAAAGAGUCUGAAUAAACAUUUCCCCAAAGCUUAUAUACAAAGCAUGUGAAAAUAUGCUAAACCUCAAUAGCUAUCAGGAAAAUGCCAAUCAAAACCACAGUGAAAUACUGCUUCGGCCCACUAGGAUGACAAUAAUGAAAAAGGCAUGAGAGACAGAUCCAAGAUGGCCGAUUAGGAGCAACUCAGGAUUGCAGUUCCCAGUGAAAGUGUGGAGGAUGAGUGGAUGCCACAUAUCCAGACGGAUUUUUAUUACCCACAGACCAGAAGAUUCCCAGGUGGAAGAGCCCCACGGGUUGCCAGCAUGGCUGUUUGUGUCUCUGCACAAAAUCCAGGCACCAUUUUAGCUGGCGAUUGGAGCUCCUGGGAGAUAGAGUCGCCCAUUCAACUGAUAAAAAAGGGGACUGAAACAGGGAAUCAGACCAGGAGAUUCCCAAGAAAAAAAAAAGCACCACGAAUCUCAGCAUGGCUGUUUCAGCAAGUGCAGUGGGUCACGGCACAUUUUCAACAGGCAAAUGGAACACCUGGGAGACAGAGUCGACCAUUCAACUGAAAAAAAAAAGUGGGGGGAUCUGAGGCAGGGAGCCAGGUGAUCGGGCUUGGCUGGUCUCACCCCCACAAAAAAAAAACAGCAAUCUGAAACACUCUAGAUUGAGAGUUUCACAGCAAGCACAGCUUAACUCAGGAUGGUCCAGCUCUGUGGGGGAGGGGUAUCCGCCAUUACCGAGGCAGUCCACCACUAUGGAGGUAGUCCACCAUUGCCGAGGCAGCCCAUCAUUACAGAGACAGUCCACCAUUACAGAGGUGGGCCCCCAUUGCCAAGGCAUUCUAACUAUACCAGUAUAAACAGGACUGCAGAGAAGUUCACACAGCAGCUGGGUGGACCCCAGAGCAGCUCAGCAAAGCCUCUGCAGGCAGACUGUGACUGGGCUGCCUCCUCACUGGGCAGGGCAGCCCUGAAAAAAGGCAGCAGCAUGACAGAAACUUAUAAAUAAAGCCCUAACUCCCAGGGACAGAGCACCUGGGGGAAAAAAAAGAGCGUUUAUACGUUCUGCUGCAGCAGACUUAAAUGUACCAGCCCAGCAGCUGUGAAUGAAAAACAGAGCUCAUAGUUCAGCACUUGAACUCCUAUAAUGGACAGACUGUCCCUUCAAGCAGCUCUCUGACCCCAUAUAUCCAAAGAGUCACCUCAUAAAGGAGAUCUCAGACUGACAUAUGGUGGGUAUCCUUCGGGGACAAAGAUAGCAGAAGAAGAAACUGGCAGCAACCCUUACUGUUCUGCAGCUGCUGCAGGUGAUCCCCAGGCAAGCAGGGCCUGGAGUGGACCUCAGCAGUCCUACAGCAGAGAGUCCUGACUGUUAGAAGGAAAACUAAUAAACAGAAAGAAAUAACUUCAUCAUCAACAAAUUGGACGUCCACUCAGAAACCCAAUCUGAAAGUCAACAACUACAAAGAUGACAGGUGGAUAAAUCCACAAAGAUGGGAAGAAACCAGCACAAAAAGGAUAAAAACACCCGAAACCAGAAUGCCUCUCCUCCUCCAAGGGAUCACAACUCCUCACCAGCAAGGGAACAAGGCUGGAUGGAGAAUGAGUGUGAUGAAUUGACAGAAACUGGCUUCAGAAGAUGGGUAAUAAGAAACUUCUGUGAGCUAAAAGAACAUGUUCUAACCCAAUGCAAAGAAACUAAGAACCUUGAAAAAAGAUUUGACAAAAUGCUAAUGAGAAUAAACAGCUUAGAGAGGAAUAUAAGUGAAUUGAUGGAGCUGAAAAACACAACACAAUAACUUCACGAAGCAUACACAAGUUUCAACAGCUGAACUGACCAAGCAGAAGAAAGGAUAUUAGAGGUCGAAGAUCAACUCAAUGAAAUAAAAUGAUAAGGCAAGAUUAGAGAAAAGGCAACCACUGGGGCUGAAGUUCCCGCCGGGUCAGUGACAGAUGAGAGAGAUGCUGCCUGGCCCGCCUCGGCUUUGAGGCGACAGAAGUGUCCCAGACCCCUUUCAUCUUGUUGAUGACAUCGAGCUCCAGGCAGACAUGUCCAUGGGGUUCUCCUUCGGGUCCAGGACUUUGGACCCCACCACCGUAGCCCCCGGCAGGACCAGCACAGGUGGCAGUUUCUCCUUUGGGACGGGAGUGUCUAGCAACCCUUCUGUGGGGCUCAAUUUUGGAACUCUUGGAGGUCCUGCAACUCCAGCAACUACACCUGCUCCUUCAAGCUGGUUUUGGAACCAGGCUCUUUGGAUCUAAACCUGCUACUGGGUUCACUCUAGGAGGAACAAAUACAGGGACACCAGCCACUACAUCUGCCCCUACAACAGGCUUCAGUUUAGGAUUCAAUAAACCUGCAGCAUCUGCCACACCAUUUGCUCUACCUAUUACUUCUACCUCAGCUAGCAGUCUCACUCUUUCCUCUGCUCUGACAUCAACUCCAGCAGCUUCCACAGGAUUUACCCCAAAUAAUUUGGGUGGGACAAUAGCCACAACUACAACUGCAUCAACAGGCCUCUCUCUAGGGGGAGCCUUAGCUGGUUUGGGAGGUUCACUUUUCCAGAGCACAGACACAGCAACAUCAGGACUAGGACAGAAUGCUUUAGGCUUGACUUUGGGAACUACAGCAGCUACUUCAAGUGCAGGCAAUGAAGGCCUUGGUGGCAUAGAUUUUAGUAGCUCCUCAGAUAAAAAGAGUGAUAAAACAGGAACAAGACCAGAGGAUAGUAAAGCUCUGAAGGAUGAAAAUCUACCUCCUGUCAUCUGCCAGGAUGUUGAAAAUCUCCAGAAAUUUGUCAAGGAGCAGAAACAAGCUCAAGAAGAAAUUAAUAGAAUGUCUUCAAAAGCAAUGCUUAAGGUACAAGAAGAUAUUAAAGCUCUGAAGCAGCUCCUGUCAUUGGCUGCCAAUAGACCACAGAGAAACACUCUCAACAUUGACAAAUUGAAAAUAGAAACUGCUCAGGAGUUAAAGAAUGCUGAAAUAGCUUUAAAAACCUAGAAGGCACCACCUGGACUUCAACAUAAAUAUGCAGCUCCUGCUGACUACUUCAGAAUCUUGGUUCAGCAAUUUGAGGUACAGCUUCAGCAAUACAGACAACAGAUUGAAGAACUAGAAAAUUAUCUUGCCACUCAAGCAAAUAAUUCACAUAUAACCCCUCAAGAUUUGUCAAUGGCUAUGCAGUAAAUUUAAAAAACAUUUGUAGCUUUAGCAGCACAACUUCAGUCUAUUCAUGAAAAUGUAAAGGUUCUGAAAAACAGUACCUUGGCUACAGGAAAAUGUUCUUGGGAGAUGCUGUUGAUGUGUUUGAAGCAAGACGAGCAGAAGCCAAGAAGUGGCAGAACACACCCAGAGUUACUACCGGACCCACCCCUUUCAGCACCAUGCCAAAUGCAGCAGCCAUUGCCGUGGCUGCAACACUUACACAGCAGCAACAGCCUGCUACAGGUCUGAAUGCAUUCAAGUUAUAGCUUCUUACUGUUCCAAUGCAGAACAUUUAUGUGCAUUUUUAUGUCUUCCAUUUGUGUGAGCACUGAAGAAAUUUCUAUGAGUAGCUGUUCU